rnacentral:misc_RNA from 1 species
AAGUCGUAACAAGGUUUCCGUAGGUGAACCUGCGGAAGGAUCAUUAUCGAGUUUUUUGAACGGGUUGUCGCUGGCCUCUCACGGGGCAUGUGCACGCCUGGCUCAUCCACUCUCAACCUCUGUGCACUUUAUGUAAGAAACGGUGGACGCGCCGGCUCUUUGAGUCGGUAAGAAAGCCUUUCUUAUGUUUUACUACAAACGCUUCAGUUAUAGAAUGUUUACUGUGUAUAACACAAUAUAUACAACUUUCAGCAACGGAUCUCUUGGCUCUC